rnacentral:rRNA from 1 species
UACUAGAGUAGCACUCGCAUAUCAAUAAGCGGAGGAAAAGAAACUAACAAGGAUUCCCUUAGUAACGGCGAGUGAAGCGGGAAGAGCUCAAAUUUGAAAUCUUCAAGGUUCUACCUUGACGAGUUGUAGUUUAUAGAAGUGUUUUCUGUUAGUGGGGUGGCAAAAGUUCUUUGGAAUAGGACAUCAUAGAGGGUGAGAAUCCCGUAUUUGGUCAUUCCUCCUAGCGUUGUGAUACACUUUCAACGAGUCGGAUUGUUUGGGAAUGCAGUCCAAAAUGGGUGGUAAAUUUCAUCUAAAGCUAAAUAUUGGCGAGAGACCGAUAGCGAACAAGUACCGUGAGGGAAAGAUGAAAAGAACUUUGAAAAGAGAGUUAAACAGUACGUGAAAUUGUCAAAAGGGAAGCGUUUGACACCAGUGUUGUUUUUCCGAAAAUCAAUUACGAAUGUUUUGUUUUUGAGGAGUUAUGACUUCAUCGGCUUGCUCCUUUCUUUACGAAGCUUUCUUAAUGCACUUUUCGGUUAACAAGUCAACAUCAAUUUCUUUUGUUGUAAAAGGGUAUGAGGAAGGUGGCUUUCUUUUCGGAGAAAGUGUUUAUAGCCUUGUACCUCUGCAAUCGGAGAGAUUGAGGUCUGCAGCGUAGAUCCUUCGGGGUUAGAUACAUUUGUGCUAAGUUAUAGCUUUUCAUAGACAACUUGUUGACUAUGUUUAGUCUUGUAGCUUACUCGCUUACGCUAUUUUACCUACGCUUAGGAUGUUGAAGAUGUAGCACAUCAU